UACGUAGGGUGCAAGCGUUAAUCGGAAUUACUGGGCGUAAAGCGUGCGCAGGCGGUUUUGUAAGUCAGAUGUGAAAUCCCCGGGCUUAACCUGGGAACUGCGUUUGAAACUACAAGGCUAGAGUGUGACAGAGGGGGGGUGGAAUUCCACGUGUAGCAGUGAAAUGCGUAGAGAUGUGGAGGAACACCGAUGGCGAAGGCAGCCCCCUGGGUUAACACUGACGCUCAGGCACGAAAGCGUGGGGAGCAAACAGG
rnacentral:rRNA from 1 species